rnacentral:miRNA from 1 species
UCACCGGGGGCCUUGAGUAGC